rnacentral:misc_RNA from 1 species
GAUGAAGAACGUAGCGAAAUGCGAUACGUAGUGUGAAUUGCAGAAUUCAGUGAAUCAUCGAAUCUUUGAACGCACAUUGCACCUCUCGGUAUUCCGGGAGGUAUGCCUGUUCGAGCGUCAUUUGUACCCUCAAGCUCUGCUUGGUGUUGGGUGUUUGUUCCGCCUCUGUGUGUGAACUCGCCUCAAAACAAUUGGCAGCCGGCGUACUUGUUUCGGAGCGCAGCACAUUUUGCGAUCCAGAUCAACGUACAGCGGCAUCCAAGAAGCCUUAUUUAACCCUCUUGACCUCGGAUCAGGUAGGGAUACCCGCUGAACUUAAGCAUAUCAAUAAGCGGAGGA